rnacentral:rRNA from 1 species
AGAUUGAACGCUGGCGGCAGGCCUAACACAUGCAAGUCGAGCGGUAGAGAGGUGCCUGCAUCUCUUGAGAGCGGCGGACGGGUGAGUAAUGCCUAGGAAUCUGCCUAGUGGUGGGGGAUAACGUUCGGAAACGGACGCUAAUACCGCAUACGUCCUACGGGAGAAAGCGGGGGACCUUCGGGCCUCGCGCCAUUAGAUGAGCCUAGGUCGGAUUAGCUAGUUGGUGAGGUAAUGGCUCACCAAGGCGACGAUCCGUAACUGGUCUGAGAGGAUGAUCAGUCACACUGGAACUGAGACACGGUCCAGACCUCCGUACGGGAGGCAGCAGGUGGGAAUAGUUGGAACAAGUGGGACGAAAGCCUGACUCCAGCCA